ACUCUUUUGGCAUAAAUCUUGAGAAGGAAGGCAGCCCAAAAUGAAUUAUAUAACCAUGGUCUUCCAUGCUUUUCACGUAGGCACUAAGAAUCUGUACAUAGAAAAGACAAGGCACGUGUUUAAAAAAAUGCAUAAUAUCAGGUACAGGAAUGUGAAUUUAUCAUUUAAAGAGCAAGAAUUUAGCAGAGAAUAAAAGGGAAAUUUUGACACACCAGUUCCAGAAGUUGAUUAGAUAAUGUAUUUAUCAGAUAAUGUACAUCUUUCUUCUAGUAAAGGGAAAGGAAUACAAAGUUUGGGAAGCUGUUCUAUAAAGAAAUCUGCAAGAGCUGAGAAUACCCUCUCAAACUUGCUAGUUUUGUACAUUUGUUGGAGCUCACAUAAGAUUUUUUUCAUGUACAGAUGAUUAGUUCAGUCACCAAGUGCCUUAGCUACCUUAAAAUCAGGAUAAAGAUGAUUCACAUUACCAAGAAAAGCGGUAGCAUCUUCCUCAUCCCAUUAUUUUCAUAGUUACCUGGUUUGGGCCAUUAAAGACAAAAUAACUAUAUGGCCGCUUUUGAUUCCUGCUAUCCAAUGCUAGCCACUAUUUUUAUUUUUUUAAAAAUAAAAGUAAUGUUAUUAGCUACUAUUUUAAACGCUAUUAACAUUUCAUCACCUUCUUGUAACAGAAAAAGUUUCGGACAAAGUAACUCAAACUAAAACAUGGAACAAAUGCUACUGGAAUUUGAAUGAUGAAUAAGUGGAACCAAGGAAAAAAGCUUCCAUGAGAUUCAAAACCAAGGAAGGACUCAUGGGGUUCAAACAUUUAUAAGUUCAAGAUUAAGGAACGAUUCAUGGGGUUCCAAAAUUUGAUAGAGCUACAAAACCAACAGAAGAUUCAUGAAAUGCAAACCUUUAUAAGUUUUUGACUUUAUUUUUACCAAUUAUUUCACUCCGGUCCUUUGCUUCAGGUACCAUGUUAUUUGUUGCUGCUACCGUCCUCUUUCUCCUUUAUUUUAGCAUGGCUUCUUCAUUAAUAUAUUUCCUAUUCAUACUUGAUUUUGAUAUGAUUUACUUGAGCCGAGGGU
rnacentral:lncRNA from 1 species